UACGGAGGGAGCUAGCGUUGUUCGGAAUUACUGGGCGUAAAGCGCACGUAGGCGGCUUUGUAAGUUAGAGGUGAAAGCCCGGGGCUCAACUCCGGAAUUGCCUUUAAGACUGCAUCGCUUGAAUCCGGGAGAGGUGAGUGGAAUUCCGAGUGUAGAGGUGAAAUUCGUAGAUAUUCGGAAGAACACCAGUGGCGAAGGCGACAUACUGGCUCAUUACUGACGCUGAGGCUCGAAAGCGUGGGGAGCAAACAGG
rnacentral:rRNA from 1 species